rnacentral:misc_RNA from 1 species
GUAAAUUCUCCCUCUUGUCGCAUCCUCCCCAACAUCCCGGAGUAUGUUAGUUAGCUGAUUUGCGAUCCCUAAUGCCAGAGCAGCAUUGUAGACACUUUCCGUCGUAGCCUCUGAAUCUGGUGCAAUUCCCAUGACUGGAACGCUCAUCAAUCCGACUGUUCCGGCAACAUAGUAGCAGUAGAGAUAGAGCUCAUCGAAAUUCUCGUAUCUGGACUUCUUGAGGUCCAUCCUCAUCCCCUCAAUCAUGUCCUUAAAUGGCUGUAUGUCUACGGGGAACUCUGAUACCGUAUCAGACAAAGCAGCAUCUAGCAUGUCAUACGGCCGGCCGGCAAACAAAUCUUCCAAUCUCAACUGCCACCUGUCCAAUGCUGAAGGCGUGAUGUGAGAUGCAUUUGGCCCGUCUACAAGCUCAUCUGUCCUCCUGCACCACACAUAGAUUGCCCAAAUAGCCCUCCGUCUCUCCGGCGUCAUGAGCAAAGUACCCAAAUAGAAGGUCUUGGCAUACUCUGCGCAGAUCUCUCCACACCUCUCAUAGGCCUCCCUCAACA